CGAGCAAAGGCAAGUGGGAGGUGAGGUGAGCCAAUAAAGGCGUCACCUUUAUUUUUUUUUAAAUGGCCUGAAUUAAUAAUUAAAAGGUAGCAUUACGAUUUAUUUGGAGUUUUGGACAAACCCAGCUCUGCUUUCCCUUUUUUUCCCUCGAGUUCGUAGUAGUGACUCUCUUCUCCAGCUUCGUGACCUCCAGCAGGUACGUUUUCUCCCUUCUUCUUCAGUUCUUCUGUCUCCUCUGCUUCGUGACCUUUAGCAGCUACAUUUUUAGCAAUUGUUUUCUUCUUCUUUAAUGUGCAGUCAGCAGUGUGCACAGUCUUUGUUUUUUUUUUGCUCUGUUAUUUAAUUUCUGCAGACUAUUGCAAUAUGGCUAUUGUUUUCUUUAAGAAAAUAUUCUAGUCCUUCGAUAUUUAUUUCUUCCCAACUCAAUUUAGUUUUAUAGUAAUUAUACGGUUAGUUUUGACUUAAUGUUUGCUAAUAUGUUAUUGCUAUUUGAAAUUUUGAAUAUCUAUAUAUUCAAAUAUUUUGGAUAUCUAUGUAUUCAAAGGACGGGUGCCUCGUCGAGCCUUGUCGCCUUUCGCCGUCCAAAACACUACUAUCAAUACCUAUAUACCUAUUCCAUUUAUUUGGGUGGGGACGUAUGGGGAGGGGAGAGAGUGGACUGAGAAUGAGGUAACUGGGUAUCUUUCUAUCAGAUCAUCAAAUCUUCGUAUCCUUCUUGUUGAAUUUUUUUGUUUUUUUACCGAUUAGGUUCUCUUCCAUAUUGAAUCUAGGAAACCUCUUUACUCUGUUAUAUUUAGUCUGAAUGAUGAAUACUUAGCAAGUAGGUCAUUGGAUAAAUGUAUGAAUAUAUGGUUAAUGAAGGAGGCCAAGAUUAUAAAAACUUACAAUGGUGAUGGCGGUAUUUUUGAAGUGUGUUGGAGAAAGGAAGGGAACAAUCUCUUCCAUUUUGAAUCCAGGAAACUUGUUUACUUUGUUGCAUUCAGUCCAAACAGUGAAUACUUGGUAAGUGGGUCAUUGGAUAAAUGCAUGAAUAUAUGAUCAGUGAAGGAGGCCAAGAUUGUAAAACUUAUAAUGGUGAUGCCAAUAUUUCAAAGUGUAUUGGAACAAGGAAGGCAACAAUGUGGCACCUUCUUUUGCAAACAACAAGGUUUGUGUGUUUGAUAUUCGAUUGUGGAGGUUGAGGAAUAACUUUAAAAGGACUUAGGAACACUAAGGCACGGAUUUCACAAUUCCAGAAACUCUGCCUUGCAGAAACGCAUAUUGUAGAUAAGUUUUUUUUAAUUUGUCACUCGAUGUUCAGUUUACCCACGUUGGGGCCGACUAUAUCAUUAUGACUUUGAUUUAAACUUAGGGUUGUGGUACCCUAAUGAUUUAGUAGCCCCAAUAUGGGUAAACCGGACACCGAGUGACAAAUCAAAAAAGCUUAUCUACAAUCUGCAUUUCUGCACGAGAGAGUUUCUUGAAUUGUGAAAUUCCUGCCUCCUCUGUGUUGCCAAGUACUUUUAAAGCUAUUUCUCAACCUCUACAAUCAAAUAUCAAACACACAAACCUUGUUGUUUGCAAAAGAAGGUGCCACAUUGUUGCCUUCCUUGUUCCAAUACACUUUGAAAUAUUGGCAUCACCAUUAUAAGUUUUACAAUCUUGGCCUCCUUCACUGAUCAUAUAUUCAUGCAUUUAUCCAAUGACCCACUUACCAAGUAUUCACUGUUUGGACUGAAUGCAACAAAGUAAACAAGUUUCCUGGAUUCAAAAUGGAAGAGAACCUACUCAGUAAAAAAAUAAAUAUUCAAAAUAGAAGAUAGUUCUUAUUAGUUGAAGGGAAAUGGUCUUUUUGUGGAGCUUUGGACUCAACUCUUGUUCAGAGUUUGUUGAGUUAUACUUUGUAAAUCGGUUGUUGUGUUUUAUAGAGGAAAAGUGAAGAAUACUACAGUUGGACCAAUUUAAUGGUAAACAUUUCAAGAGAUGGAGGAGUAAAAUACUUUUCUACUUAUAUCUACUCAAUGUUUCUUAUGUGCUAACUAAGAAGAAUCCUAGUAAAGUUGACAACACCUCUAUGAAUGAUGAUGAACUUAUUUCUCAUCUAGAGAAGUGGAAAAGUACGAUGGUGAUUCCUACAAGUGUCGGUAUUACAUUCUUACUUGUCUAUUAUAUUUGAUAACUUUUAUGAUUAUUAUAAUUGAACUUACUCUAAUGCAAAGAAAAUUUGGAGAAUAUUGCAUAGUAAGUAUGAUACUGAAGAAGCUGGAGCGAAAAAAUAUGUAGCUAGUAGAUUUUUUCAUUUUCAAAUAGUGGACAACAAAUCAAUGGUUGACCAAGCUCAAGACUUUAUGAUGAUUGUUGAAGAGCUCCGGUCCGAGGAGAUCAAAAUUGGAGAUAACCUUAUUGUUUGUGGCAUAAUAGAUAAACGUCCACCUUCUUGGAAGGAAUUUCAAAAACCUAUGCGCCACAAACAAAAGAAAACCUCUCAUGAGUAAUUGAUAAUGUGAAUCUUCAUGGAAGAGGAGGCAAGGGGCCAAGAUACACUUUUACAAUUAGAAGAGAGUAAUAUUACAAUGAGGUAAAUUUAAUAAGUUCAAAUAACUCUACUCCUAAAUCUCACAAAAAUACUUCUAUAAAGCCUAAGAAGAAAAAUUUCAAGAAAAACAAUCGCCGAUCUCUUAAAAAGAAAAAUAAUGGUACAAAUAACCAAGAACAAAAUCAACAAGUUCAAGACAAGGGACCGUGCAUUGUCUACGAUAAGUUGAUUCUGGUGAAAACUGUCAUGUCUGUCAUGACGUCAGAGAUUGAUUUAAAAAAUAUUCUCCUUUCGAGGAACCCAAAAUCAUCAUGCUUGGUGAUUCUCAUACUAUUCAAGUGCUUGAAACAGAAGAUGUCGAAUUGUGUUUUACCUAUGAAAGGGUAUUGACUUUGAAAGAUGUACUUUAUACUCCUUCCAUAAGAAAAAAAAAAUUGAUGUCUAAUUUUCUUCUUAAUAAAAAAGGUUUCAAACAAAUUAUUUAACUAUCAAUAUAUAAUUGUAAAAAGGCUAUUUUGUGGAAAAGGGGUAUGCUAGUGAUAAGAUGUUCAAGUUGAAUGUUGAAAUGAAUAAAGUUUUUACUUUUAUUUACAUACUCUCUUCUACUAAUUUUUGGUAUGCUCAUUUGUGUCAUAUUAAUGAUCAUUAUUUUGGAAUCAUGAUUAGUUUAAGAUUAAUCCCAAUGAUUAGAAAGAAUUUUGAAAAGUGUGAAGCUUGUAGUAAAGCCAAGAUCACUAAGAGACUACAUUUUCAAGUUGAAAGAAAAGCUGAUUUAUUAGAAUCAUAAGUUCACACCGAUAUUUGUGAACUUGGAGAAAUUUUAAUUCGUGGAGGAAAUAGAUACUCAUCACUUUCAUUGAUGAUUUUUCUAAGUUAACAUAUGUUUACUUUUUUUUUUUGAGAUAAUUAACAUAUGUUUACUUGAUGAAAAAUAAAAGUAAUGCUUUUGAAAAUUUUAAAACUUAUCCAUGAGGUUAAAAAUCAAUUUGAAAGAAAAAUAAAGAGAACUAGAAGUCACGAUAGAGGCCGUGAAUAUGAGUCAAAUGAGUUUAAUCCUUAUUCUCCUAUAUGAAAUGGUGUAGCGAAAAGGUCACAAGCCAAGUUUGAGAUAUUUAAGAGUUUGGAAAGUUACUACUUGUGUUUUUCUUGUUAUGCUUCAAAUAGUAGAGUCUAUAGAUUUUUUUAAUCUUGAAGAUAAUAUUAUAAUAGAAUGUGGUGAGACUAUUUUUCAUAAAAACAAAUUCCCUUUUGAUUCUAAAAAUAGUUGGAGGUCAGAGGAUUGAACAAAAUAUUUUGUCACUACCUUGUUCUACGUCUACUUUGUGACAUAAAAUAUUGAUGAUUUUGAGUUAAGAAGAAGUAAAAGAGGUAGAGUAGAAAAAUAUUUUUGUCCUGAUUUUUAUGUUUUUAAUGUUAGAGAUGAACCUCCUAUUUUACAAGAAGUUUUAUCUUUACAUGAUUCUAUUUAUUUAUUUUUUUGAAAAGAGGUUGUAAAUGAGGAAAUGAAAUCACUAAUUUCUAAUAAAACAUGGAAAUUAGUUGGUUUACAACCGGGUUGUAAAAUAAUUGAUUGCAAAUGGGUCUUACGAUUUUUUUUUGAAAUAGAAUGGUUCUAUUGAUAAAUAUAAGGCUAGACUAGUUGCUAAAUGUUUUAAGGAACUACAAGGCCUUUAAUUUUUUGAUACUUUUUCUUUGAUAAUUAGAAUUACAUCCAUUAAAUUUCUAAUUUUUAUGGAUGCAAUUUUUUAUUUGCAUAUUCAUCAAAUGGAUGUAAAAACUAUUAUUUUUUUUAAAAUAGAGGCCCAAAUGAGAAAAUUUAUAUGGAUCAACCGAGUGAUUUAACUUGUUAAAGUAGACCAAGAAAGCAAAAUGUGUAAACUUACAAGAACAUGUGAUGAAACUUUCUUUGACCAAUCAUAUUAUGUUGAGAAAUUUUGAAAAAAAUAUAACUUUCUUGAUUGCAAGCAUGUUGUAACUUCUUUUUAUUCUAGUGUUCAUUUAUUUUUUGUUCAAAGUAAAAAUGAUGUGAUAAAUCAAAAGGAAUAUGCUUGCUUAAUUUAAAGUUUGAAAUAUGUGAUUUAUUGUAUUAGGCAUAAUAUUGUAUAUACAGUAGGAGUACUUAGCAAGUUCACAAGAAAGCUAGAUAAUGAACAUUGACAUGCUAUAACAAGAGUUGUGAAAUAUUUAAUUGAGACAAAAACUUGUAAUUUGUUCUAUAAAAAGAUAAUGUUGUACUUGAAGGCUUUCUGAAGCAUAUUGAAAACUUUAUCACGUGAUUCCUCUUCUACCACUAGUUACAUUUUUACUUUGGGUGGUGGUGCUAUUUGUUGGAAAUCAAAAAAGAAAGCAAUAAUUGUUAACUCUACUAUAGAGGCUGAAGUAAUUAUUUUAGCUUGAGCUAGUGAGGAAGCAAAUUGGUUGAGAGAUUUAUUAAUUAUUUCAAAUACCUUCUUUUGAAAAUUAAUUCCUCGUAUUUUAACUUAUUGUUAUAACACUGCUGCAAUUAGUAGAGUUCAAAAUCGUUAUUACAACAAUAUAUCCAAACCUAUAAGGAGGAAACAUAGUAAUGUGAGAUCAUAUUUGGCAAGUGAUACCAUUAAUGUUUAUCAUGUCAAAUCUUGGGAAAAUCUUGCAGAUCAUCUUACUAAGGCUUUAAUAGGAGAAAAGGUCUAGAGCAUAUCGAGGGGGAUGAGAUUGAAGUCUAUAUAUCAUUGAGUCAUAUAUGAGGAAACCCAACCUAGGGACUAGAGUUCCUAUAACCAGGUACAAUGAGAAAAUUAAACGAAUCAUAUGCUGACUUGUUGUGAAAAAUGCACUAUUUCUAUUCCCCUCUAUGAUGUGAGUGCAUUGUUUUUUUGUAGUAAAUUAGGGAGGUUGAGUUUAAAAACUCUUAAUGAAAAAUAUAUAGCCCAUAUGGGUGGAGUUUUAAACUUACAGGAGCACUCUCGAAAGAUUUCAUCUAUCUGAGUAAGGAAGUAGGUUGUUUCCUAUAAGAAUUUGGCUAAUUCUCAAAAGCACUCAUAAAAUCACGAUAGCACAAGGCCGUAAUGUGCUGAUUUUUAAAGCUCAUGCCAACACCUUGAUUAUUAUGUGUAACUAGUCAUAUUUUAUUUUCCUUAAACAGUCAUAGUUUAAGUCUGACACCAUUAUGACUUAGGAGUAAAAAUUAUUGUUUUACUAAGUGAAGGUUCAAUGUAUAUUUUUUCCGCUGAGCCUACACCCUGGAUAUGGCCGACACUCGUAACGAUUGCUAGUCCCAAUCGAACCUUUGGCCUUAUUAACUAUGGUACAUAUGGCUUUAUAGAAUAUGCAGAAGCUUUAAUAGAUGAGAAUUUCAAAACAUUUAAAGAACAUAAAACCAUUAUCUGAAAAUACUUAAUAUAAAUAGUAAACGUUUAGCAAAAACAUCUGAGUAAGUAUUGUAACUAUCUUACUUCCUAUCGAUGAAGCCUCUACUAUCUAAAGAUAGGUGAUGGGAAAACAUGCACGACACCUCAAAGUACUACUAAAACUAAAUAAUAAGCUGGAGUCCUACAAAAGCAAGGAGGUCUCACAAAAAUCUGAUGAGAGGAUGUGGUAAUCUCAACGCAAUGCUUGUUGAUGAUCCUAAAUACCUGAAUCUGUAUCAUGAAAUGAUGCAAGUCGAAUGACAUCAGCACAUUAAAUGUAUGGUGUGUAAUAGGGCUGAAUAAAACAAAUAACUGAACUGAAAGAGAUUGAAAGUAACCUGAUUGAAAGUGUAGCUUGAACAUGAGGUAAAAUCAUUUAAGUUUUACAAUAUAAGACAUGCAAUAGAAACAACAUUAAAAUAAUAUAAUAUACUUUUUUGGGGAGUUCCUCUAACAAAAUAUUAUAACUAUGAGCCUAGUAAUGAUACAACGUCCUGCCCACAUUGCCAAAGUCAUCAUAUACCUUGCCGGGUAUAGGAUAACAACUAUAAUCUAUGGAUCCAUCCAAUAUGUCUUACAGAGAGGAAGUGAGGAGUCACCCGAAAUUCGAUACGAUCCUAUCUUAUACGUUGACUACGUAGUUUAUGAGGCUUUUAGUUAAAAUGAACUCUUACUCAAUUCGGUGCUAGAUACUAUCCCAGAAUAAUCAAUAUUAAUUAUGCUCAAUAGCCUUGUUUAGGAACUGGCCUUUAUUUCACUUUCCUUUACUGAAAUGAUUUUCAAAAAAUCAAUUAUGCUAUUUUUUCUCAAUUUCCAAAUAGAAUAUAUGAAACCAUUUAUGUCGUUUUAAAAUCCCAUUUCAAAUCAUGCAUUUAAAUGCUCAUGGACUCUCUUUCCAAGUCCGAAAUUAAUGUAUAAGAAAAACUCAUAUAGGAACCUUUUAAAAAUAUGACUUCAAUAAAUAGGGCUCAUGUAAUAAUGAAAUUAUGAACAACUGUUUAAGAAUCAAUAUUCAUAAGAGAAUCGAAAUCUAAAUGAUUAAGAAAUCGGAACUCAAGAAAAGAAAACACAAACCGAAUUUCGAUUUCAAGAGACUAUGUGUAGAACCCUAAACAUAAUAUUUUACUGAAUGGAUUUAGAUGUAGGGUGUGAGGAAAAACAUAGUCCAUCACUAUGAGUAGUCUUACAUACCUUAAUGACGAUUCUUGAAGAAAAAUCUUGACAGAUGAAGUGUGUAGAAGAAUCUUGAAUUGAAAACCUUAGGUAUCUUGAAGAGAAUCUUGAACUUGGAGCCUUUAGAUCUUGGAAAAUUGGAGAAAUCCCUUUCUUGGAGUUCUUGAUCUUUAGAAGAAGGAGAAUUAGGGAUGUUGAGAAUUUCUAUACGUAUAAUGAUAUUAGGUUACAAUAUGGACUUAGAAAAGUUAUUUCAGGGUAAAAGGUCAAGAAUACCCUUCUGGAAACAUAAGAAGACCAUAUAAAUCAAAGAGAAUGACAUUUUAAUGGAUCUCGUCUGCCAAAUUGGUGAUCUCGAGGUCCCCCAUUGAAAUAUUUGGCGAUUAGCCAAAUGGGCCUUUAGAUCGCCAAAAUAUCUAGAGACUCGAUGUUUUAAGGCUAUUUCAGCGAGCUAAUUUGGCGAUUCAUCAAAUCAUUCAGUGAGUUGCCAAAUGGGAUGGUGUCCUCGCCGAAUUUCUUAGCCCGCACAUAGUGGCAGAGCCAAGAAUUUCACAAAGGGUGUCCAAAAAUAACACAGUAAAAGCACUUUUCAAAAAGUAGAACUAGUGGGUUCAAACACACCAAGCACGUCCUCAUUCCAAGGAGGUGAAACUAGUGGGCUACAACUUGUUGUGUUAAAGGGUGUCCAAAAUAUGUUAUUUAAUCAUUUCGUGUAUCAUUUUACUUGUAUAUAAGAUAUUUUUUUCCGGUGAAGUGGACACCCUAACCACCAUGUGGCUACGCCAUUGCCUGCACAUAGUCCAAUAAAAUAACCUCCAAAGUCUGAUUGAUGCAAACUUGAUGGCGUUGGAAAAAGGACUAAUAAAACUUAUCAUGGGCCACCUCACUCUUUAUAUGUUGACAGUUUGAAGUUGACCUUUAUAUGAACUCAUGCGAGAACAUAGCCGAUAGAAAUGCUUUGAACUUGGCUUGGUGUUUGAGGUUCCUUAUGACCCUAGAUAACUCUCGAUACCCUUGACAAACUUGGCAAUGGACCUUACUACAUAUGAACAAGUAGUACAUCACCUAGUUCAAGCUCAUAUUCUUAUGAUGAACGAUUCAGCUUUUAAGAGUAGAGUUGCAAGGUUUUACAAAAUGAUUCGAGUCUUAGCUUAUAAGAAAUUUUCAGGGUGUCACAGCAGAGCACGCGUUCAUUAUGCAUAGUAGUCUUCCUUCAGUUGAUAAACUCUUAUUUAAUAUUAACAUGAGUACGAAAUUAUUGUUUUUCUUAUAGAAUUUUAAUAUUAUAAAAUGUUUUUUAGGGAUGACAGGGAUCAGAUUAGUGCAUCAUUCCUUGGCAGUUAGUGUUUGUAUCUCAUUUUUUGUGCAUUACUUUGAACAUUCAAUUGUACAGUAGUGUUUUCCGUUGAGUUGUGCAGCAAUUGCAUUUUAACGUUAGUGGCAUUUGGUUGUCCACAUUACUUCACUCUUUAUUCUUCCAUUAUACCUUUUAACUUAUGUAAUCUUUAGGCUAUUUAUCUUCUCGAUUUACUUCUCCAUUAUCUUUAUUCAUUGUAAGGAAGACUUCCUCACCUAUAAGUAGUGGUGGUUUUCCAUUGUUUUUUAUACAAGAAAAUAUAGAGUGCAUAAAAGUUAGUUAUAAAAUAGAGUUCUUAUUAAUUGAAGGGGAGUGUUCUUUUUGUGGACUUUUGGACUCAACUCUUUUCCAAAAUUUGUUAAGUUAUACUUUGUGAAUUAGCUAUUGUAAGAUCUUGGGCAUAUUUGUAUGUUUAAAAGCCAAGUGAACCCAUGUUUUAACUAAAUUUGAGAAUAAGUUUCGUUGUGUUUGUAGUUAUUAAGUCUUGUUUAUGUUAUUUUGGCUAACCAAAUUGUUUAGUGUUGUAGGUUGGAAAGCAUGUGCAUUGGAUAACCAAAUUGAGGAUGAAGUCAGAACAAGUGUGCAUGUCACAAGGAGAGCUGAAGAAGGAACUCAACUCCACUUUCUCUCCGUGUCACGAAUAAUUUGAGAAGAAAAAUAUGGCCACGAAAAUAAAUUGGAACCAAAGGCCUCCGAAAAGGCUCCCUGUCGCGGAGCUAUCGUGGAUCGGGAUAAAAUGCAAAAUAGGUGAGUCUUCCUUGACUUCGCUUCGCGGACCUGUAGACCAGAAUUUUGCUGCGUUUUCCAACCUAUAAAUAAAUUCAUCUUUUUAGGUUUAAUAACCAUUUGAUCUUUGAUAUCAUCGGAGUGUAUAUAUAUAUAUACACACACUCUGGUGGUAUCUAGAAAGAAAAAGUCACUUCAGUGAAAACACUACUAAGUUACUCCUUGAUACCAUCAAAGUAUAUAUACACUCUGGUGGUAUCAAAGAGCGAUUCAGUGAAAAUACUACUCAAUUACUCCUUGAUACUAGGGGUGGGCAUAAAUACCGAAAAACCGAACUGAACUGAUUCGGUUCUUCAGUUUCGGUUUGGUGUUGGUGUUAUUUUUUCAAAAGUUUGGUUCUUCGAUUCGGUGUUAGGGUCUCAGAACUUCGGUGCACCGAACUGAACUUUUAUAUAUAUAUAUAUAUAUAUAUGAGAAUUUUCUUAACUAAAAAUAAAGAGUCAACUAACAAUAAAAUCAUAUAUGAACAAAUCAAAGUAGCAAGAAAUGUACAAUUCAAAUAUUAAUUUCCAAGAGGAACCAAAACAUAUUUUUUAUCAAUCUACGUAAUGUAAAAGAAUCCGUCUUCGUCCUUGUUUUUCUCGAGAAUUAGUUGGAUGCACAAUGUUCUUGACAAAAAUAAAUAUAAUCUUUUAAGUUAGCACAAUAAGUGUUCCAUGGUGAGACACAAUAUUUCUUAACAUACUUUUAAAUUUUUAAGUAUCUUAUAUUUUGAUUUUGUCCUCAUUUUAUUUUUCAUUCACACUGAAGAACCGAUUUCAAAACACCGAACUAAACCGAACCGAAGUAGAAAGAUUCAAAACGAACCAAAAUAGUUUGGUUUGGUAUACGGUACACACUUUUCUAAAACCUAAAAUCGAAGAAUCGAAUCGAAGUUUGAUAAAACCGAACCGAAGAACCGAACAUCCACCCCUUGAUACCAUUAGGUUAUAUAUAUACCCUAGUGGUAUCAAGUAUAAAUAUACCCUAAUUGUAUCAAUUUUAGCUAAAUUUAUACUUGAUACCUUCAAAGUAUAUAUAUACUCUACCGGUAUCAAUGAAGAAAAAAUCACUUUAGUCAAACAUUUGAUAUCAUCGGCAACUAUAGCAUUAACAAGAGCAGUGCCCACUAAACGAGCCAUAUGUUUCAUCCUUUUCCACCAUUUUUCAUUAACCUCACUGGCCGCAGUUGCAGGGCUUGAACCAACUUCAAUUCUUCUGAGAUGAGGAGGAGGAGACACCACCGGAGACUGAAGAGGAGCAAGACCCUUGAAGGUUGGACUUGAACCAACUUCAAUUCUUCUAAGAUGAGGAGAAGGAGACGCCAUCAAAGAGUGAUGAGGAGCAAUACCCUAGACGACGGAAGAAAUCGGUGCCGUCAGUUUCAACGACGACCGAAGCUCUCUCAGUUUCUACUAUAGUAAUAAAUAAUUAUUAGGAUUGGGCUCUAUAGCGGAAUUGGGGGUUUGAUUGGACCACUAUAGAACAAUUGAGGAUCUGAUUGGGUCGUUAUAUAACCUUUAGCUAAAAAAUUUUUACUAGUGAGACCUAAAAUCUACUUGGCGAAGAAUGAGAGACCUCACACAAGUAUUGUAUAUGUGUGUCUCUCACACCAUAAAAUAUUUUAAACAAUUUUUAUAAGUAACUUUAAAUAACUAAUAAAAUAAGAAAGUUGAUAUUUGGGGUUGGGGUUUUAUAACAGAAUGGGGGUUUUAGAAGGAAAAGCAAGUCGAAAUUUGGGGUUAGGAUUUUAGAACAGGGGUUUUAGCACAUAAAAAGGUUUUAUAAGGAGAGAUAGGGGCUUCUUCUUCUUUUUGUUUAUCUAUGUUAGUAAUAAAAGAGCGAUUAAAAACUUAAAAGAAUAA
rnacentral:lncRNA from 1 species